rnacentral:rRNA from 1 species
AGAGUUUGAUCAUGGCUCAGAACGAACGCUGGCGGCAGGCUUAACACAUGCAAGUCGAACGCCCGUAGCAAUACGGGAGUGGCAGACGGGUGAGUAACGCGUGGGAAUCUCCCCAAAGGUACGGAACAACUCAGGGAAACUUGGACUAAUACCGUAUACGCCCUUCGGGGGAAAGAUUUAUCGGAGAUGGAUGAGCCCGCGUUGGAUUAGCUAGUUGGUGGGGUAAUGGCCCACCAAGGCGACGAUCCAUAGCUGGUCUGAGAGGAUGAUCAGCCACACUGGGACUGAGACACGGCCCAGACUCCUACGGGAGGCAGCAGUGGGGAAUAUUGGACAAUGGGCGAAAGCCUGAUCCAGCCAUGCCGCGUGAGUGAUGAAGGCCCUAGGGUUGUAAAGCUCUUCCACCGGUGAAGAUAAUGACGGUAACCGGAGAAGAAGCCCCGGCUAACUUCGUGCCAGCCGCCGCGGUAAUAC